CGUAGGUGAGAGGUUUUUCACAGGAGUGGGUGGGUGAGAUUCUGUGGCUUACAUUGUGCCGGAGGUCAGACUAGAUGACCAUAAUGGUCCCUUCUGACCUUACUAUCUAUGAACUAUUUUGGUGUCACUGAGGAACACCUGUGGUGGGGUAUGUGUGGGGGUGUUAUUUGUGAAUGUUCUGGAAGCUGGACUGAAAACCAGCAAGCUCUAAAGAAAAGGUUUAGGUGAGAUAAAACUGCUUUAGAUAUGUAUUGUAGCCUGUUAAGUUUUGAUCUCUAGGAAGGAUGUUAUACUUUGUUUUAUUUGUAACCUGCUGUUCUUUUCUCUUGCUCACUAUCUCUUAAAUCUUAACCUUUGUUAAUAAACAUGCACUGUAUUUGUUUUCACUAUAAAUAGAUUACAGUGCUGGGUUGUUACACUGGAGCUGAUAGUUGACUCAAACAAGCUGAUGUGUGGUAUACUGUAUUCCCUUGGGAGCAGCGAACCUGGUAAUUACUGUGAGGGACAAAGUGACAGGGACUGGAUGCUUCAGAGGAACACUCUUCAAGAGGGCUCAGGAUGCACCUGUUGCUAACCUGCAAAUCAAAGUGGAACAGACCCUUCCUGAAACCCAGUUGAGAACCCCAGUUCUAUAAGACUGGCUGCUUCAGAGAAGAAAGGAGAAAAAUGCCUUUGGGAAGGGCCCAUUAUUGGUAGCUGUGAGAGCGGCUUUUGACUGAACAAAUGAAAUCUUGUGAAAUUCUUAUGCUACAUGUGAAUUCUGAAGCCAAGGCAAGAUGUCCAGAAUGUUUCCAAGCGUGACAAAUUGCAUAAAAACGGUUUUGAGUUUUGCCCCCAAAAGCAAACAGAUGCCAGACCGUUCAGCCAAAGAACUCUGGGAUUUGGUGCUUCACUUUUCCUUUGUUGUGCUGCCACUCUCUAUAGGGAGCUCCUCUGAAUAAGUGAUGGUGGGGUUUGUUUGCUUUCUAAGUUACCCGUUUAUUCAUUUCUUUCUUGACAUUUCUCCUAAAGGUCUUCAUCUGCCUUUUCCAUGGCAACAAACACAGUUUUGCUCUUUUCCCCACUCCCUUUUCCUGUUUCUGCAUCUUCCUCAGAUUGAUUCAAUUCAAAGGAGUGCUUUUGUGAACCGAAUUCCUCAUGCUAGUUGUAUCUUUUGUCUCAGGUUUGCUUCUGAGUCACAGUUACCUCAGCCAGUCAUUGCCAGUAUUGCUAUUCCACCCCAAAGGGCCUUUGGAUCACAGCGGUAGAGAAAAUUGAUUCACUGUUUGUUGUCACUGAACACUAGCUUCUUCGUACCUAUGGAGGAGAGAGAGGAAACAGCUCAUAAAUAUUGUUCCAUAAGCACUUAUUAGAAAGAUGAGAUAUUAUAAUCUGUAUGAUGCUAAAUAGAAGGCUGUGCAGAGCCAGUGAUCCAACAGCCCGCAGGUUUCAAUGGAAGUUUCAGGAAAUGGGCAGCUGAGAAUCCAAACAGAAAACCAAUGGGAAGGAAUUUUUCCCCCUGGCAUUGUAUUUGUUGUAGACAAACACAGGUGCACGUGGGACCUGAUCCAAGAUGCAUUGUUUCAGUGGGCUUUGGGGCAUGCUCAUAGCUGGUAAUAUUGUUCUGCUGAGGGAGAAAGUAACCACCUAGAAAUCCCUUCAGUUUAAGGCAGGAAGAUGCUGGAAUAGGGAAGCAGAGAACUAGGAGGACUAGGCCUCCCUUAAUCAUGUGGCUCACAGGGGAUGGAUUAUCCCUUCUGCUCCUGCUGCAGUUUUAAAAGAACACUACACACAUCCUCACUCCUGCAAUAGGAGUGCCCCCAGGGGCUUACCUGCUGUCUGUGGAUAAAGAGAAGAGCACUUUCCUAGAUCCUUAUUGAUCGAUCAUAAGAAUCCAUCUUGACUGGCUAAUGCCUGUUUCCUCUUGUACAAUCCCAGUAUUUGGUGAUUAAAACUUAAUGGCUAUGGAUACUGUGUAGCUUAUUAAGAUCUCCCCUCCCACCGAAAGGUAUGUUUGCAUUAAUAUAUGGCUAACCUCUGUGCAUGGCAGAGCUUUCCCAGUCUCCUAGAGGUAUUGAGUUUGAAAUUUCUCAGUUUAAACCACAAUCCAGAUAUCUCCAGCCUCAAACAUCUAUUGGCACAGAAGCUGAAAAGAUUAAAAUUGAACAGUUUGGUAA